rnacentral:rRNA from 1 species
UACGUAGGGGGCAAGCGUUGUCCGGAUUUAUUGGGCGUAAAGGGCACGCAGGCGGUCUGGUGCGUUUCCAGUGACAGGUGGGGGCUCAACUCCCACAGGCCUGGGAAAACGGCCAGACUUGAGGACUUCAGAGGGACGCGGAAUUCCAGGUGGAGCGGUGAAAUGCGUAGAGAUCUGGAAGAACACCAAAGGCGCAGGCAGCGUCCUGGGAAGUACCUGACGCUCAGGUGCGAAAGCGAGGGGAGCGAACGGG